AUUCACUCGUGAGUAUGUCUCUGUGGAUAAAACUUGUUUAAUUUAAUAACCUAGUUUUUCUUUUCUUUUCUUUUCUUUUCUUUUCUUUUCUUUUCUUUUUUUUCUUUUCUUUUUUUUUUCUUUUCUUCUCUCUUCUCUUCUUUUCUUUUUUCUUUUCUCUUCUUUUCAACAGAGAACCUAUUCUUCACAAAAAACCCAAACAGCAUUUUUGUGGCUUAGUUCCUGUUUAGCAGUACCCUUGCCUCUUGGAUGUGGAACUCUACUAUCACCAGGUGGCAACUCCCAACUUUGCAGGUAUGUUGCUGGUGGUCCUCAUCUGAAGGGCAUUAACAAAAAUGGAUCUUUGCUGAAAUUCAGCUGAAGCCCUCCUCGCCUUUUUCCCAUCCUGUGUGUUCUCUCUUGCUGCAACAUAAGUAAAA
rnacentral:lncRNA from 1 species